rnacentral:rRNA from 1 species
CCACGGGGGGCAGCAGUGAGGAAUAUUGGUCAAUGGGCGGGAGCCUGAACCAGCCAAGUCGCGUGAGGGAAGACGGUCCUAUGGAUUGUAAACCUCUUUAGGCGGGGAGCAAUGCCGGGCACGCGUGCCCGGAGGGAGAGUACCCUCAGAAUAAGCAUCGGCUAACUCCGUGCCAGCAGCCGCGGUAAUACGGAGGAUGCGAGCGUUAUCCGGAUUUAUUGGGUUUAAAGGGUGCGUAGGCGGAUGUUUAAGUCCGCGGGAAAAUGUCGGGGCUCAAGCCGGGCCGGCCGUUGAAACUGGGGAUCUUGAGUGGGCGAGAAGUAUGCGGAAUGCGUGGUGUAGCGGUGAAAUGCAUAGAUAUCACGCAGAACUCCGAUUGCGAAGGCAGCAUACCGGCGCCCGACUGACGCUGAGGCACGAAAGCGUGGGGAUCGAACAGGAUUAGAUACCCUAGUAGUC